GUGUCUGUGGCACAGUGGUAAGCGCGUUUGGCUUUUAACCUAAAGGUUGGUGGUUCGAGCCCACCCAGGGACA